CAAAACUGACGGCCCAACAAGGCAAAACAGUCGCACGCUUCACACCCGACCCGAGCAUCGGGACAUUGUCCGCAGCGCGCCUCGCCUCUGUUCUCCCUCUCGUUUUCCCACAAACCCUAGCAGCAGGCGGCGGCUGUCGGCGGGCAGCGCGUGGGCCGUUGGCGCGAGGCGGCCGCGGGCACAGGGCUGCGGGGCGCGGGCGGUGGCCGCACCCGCCGUGGCCCGUCGCGCGAGCUUCCACUUCAGGGCCACUGGCCGACACACCGAGGAGCUACUGAACUAGUGAACUGUGAAAUUCAAUAUAACACAGCGAUGGACGGACAACCAGGUGCUGUGACGGCGUGUCUUGGUACGAGAGUAAAAGCAAACCUGGUUCUUGGAUCUGAAUCGUUUGCUAUCAGCCCCGAGUCGGGUAUCCUGUCAGAGCAGCUGGCUGCGAUGAAGGAGAAGAGCAUGGCGAUCCUCAAGGAAUACAUCACCAAGCACAAUGCUCCAAACGAUGUCCCUGAUGAGCCCGUUGAGGGCGAAUCUGACGGUGAGGGUGAAGCGCUUGUCAACAACCCGCCAAAGAAAUCUAAGAAGCAGAAGUGACCAUCCUGAACUUGGUCAGAUUUAUUAUUAGGCACAGCUAGUCUCUCUCCAGUUAUGCUUUUGACUCAGGAAGACAAGAUUGUUGUUUGGCACACGUCUUGCUUAUGUUAGACCAAAUUGUUAGCCACAGUAACAAUAUGCAGGUGUAAGCACUUGUUGUUCAUACCAUUAUCAUGCAAUUCUACCCACCAAUUCUGCCUCUGUCAUCUGUUCAUAUUUUCUUACCCUACACUUGCAAGGGUGCUCUGUUUCUGUCCAUGUGCUCUUCUGAAAAUUCAGCUACAUGCAUAGCUAUGGAAUAUAUAGAUCUGAUGAGUCUGUAUGGUCAUACCCUCAUACCAUACAAACGAAAUCUAAGAAGCAGAAGUGACCGUCCUGAACUUGGUCAGGUUCGUUGUUAGGCACAGCUAGUGUGUGUAUCUCCAGUUAUGCCUGUGACACAGGAAGACCAGAAUUGUUGCUUGGCACGUGUUGCUUGUGUAAGACCAGUUUGUUGUCAGCCACAAUAUGCAGAUGUAAACACUUGCUGUUCAUACCAUUGUCAUGCACUCAUGCUAUUCUUUGUCCGUGUGCUGCAUAUUUGUAGAUCUCUAGCACAAUCUGUAGCGGAAACGCAAAUGUCAGUAAGAAGUCCAUACUAUUACUAUUCUAUGAACUCCGAAGUGAAUUCAGCUACAUGCAUAGCUGUAGAAUAUAUGGGGUUGGCCUAGCUGUGGACCUGACUAGUCUGUAUGGUCAGGAGUGUGCCGAUGAUCCAGACGGCGGCUGGAUAAACUGGCUGAGUGGCGACCAAGCAAUGAAGCAACUGAAAUGGCCACCACACCAGCA